AUAUUGGUCAAUGGGUGCGAGCCUGAACCAGCCAUGCCGCGUGCAGGAAGACGGCCUUCUGGGUUGUAAACUGCUUUUGUCAGGGGAUAAAACGAGCAUGCGUGCUUAAUUGAAGGUACCUGACGAAUAAGCCACGGCUAACUACGUGCCAGCAGCCGCGGUAAUACGUAGGUGGCAAGCGUUGUCCGGAUUUAUUGGGUUUAAAGGGUGCGUAGGCGGUCUUUUAAGUCAGUGCUGAAAUAUCCCGGCUUAACCGGGAGGGUGGCAUUGAUACUGAAGGACUUGAGUGGAGUCGAGGUAGGCGGAAUUGACGGUGUAGCGGUGAAAUGCUUAGAUAUCGUCAAGAACACCGAUAGUGAAGACAGCUUACUAGACUUCAACUGACGCUGAGGCACGAAAGUGUGGGGAUCAAACAGG
rnacentral:rRNA from 1 species